GUGGGGAAUAUUGGACAAUGGGCGCAAGCCUGAUCCAGCCAUGCCGCGUGAGUGAUGAAGGCCCUAGGGUUGUAAAGCUCUUUCACCGGUGAAGAUAAUGACGGUAACCGGAGAAGUAGCCCCGGCUAACUUCGUGCCAGCAGCCGCGGUAAUACGAAGGGGGCUAGCGUUGUUCGGAAUUACUGGGCGUAAAGCGGACGUAGGCGGGUAUUUAAGUCAGGGGUGAAAUCCCGGAGCUCAACUCCGGAAUUGGCUUUGAUACUGGGUACCUAGAGUAUGGAAGAGGUAAGUGGAAUUCCGAGUGUAGAGGUGAAAUUCGGAGAUAUUCGGAGGAACACCAGUGGCGAAGGCGGCUUACUGGUCCAUUACUGACGCUGAGGUGCGAAAGCGUGGGGAGCAAACAGGAUUAGAAACCCGAGUAGUCC
rnacentral:rRNA from 1 species